rnacentral:lncRNA from 1 species
AUCGGCACUUCUGGCUCUGCGUCCCUGAGCGGCUGGAAAGAGGCUCCGUGGAAUGUGUAGGCGCCGCGGUAUCUGGUCAUACGGUAAUGCGGAGCCCGUGGUGGUUUAGACCGGCGGACUAAGAGCGGGGUUCGAAUCCCCCGCCGGGUGACGUUUGAACUGCCUCACAGGGUUGUUGUUGUGGUGUGAGGAUUCAAAUGGGAGAGGGGGCAAAAUUCUGGACUAAAUCGCAGGAACAUGUUCUGGUCUUCCCCCCACAAAAAACAAAAAAACACUCUGGUUUAUACGCGUGGAGUUCUGUUCUGUCGAUAUGUAUGUGAUAAAAAUCAUUUUUAAAGAAUUAAUAAAAGUACUUUUUUAUUUUGAAAAAACGGAGGUGGAGGGAGAAGCGUUGUUCGCUACCUUGAGCUGUUUGGCGAGGGGGGGGGGGAAAGGUGGGAUGUGAAUGGAAUGAUUUGUUUGUUCCGUACAAUGGAUAUAGCACUUUGUAUAAAAAAAACUCAAAACAGUUUACAAAAGAUAAAACGGUAAGAUCAAGAAAGGUUCGCAAGCCUACUUUAAAACCUACAAGUUUUUUUUAAAAAAAUGCUACAUCAGAUUAAAACGACCUUCCUAAGCAUCUGAGUAGGCUUGUCUAAGCAGGAAUGCUUUUAGCAAGCACUGAAAAAGAGUACACUGAAGCUGACUCCUUGAUCUCAAUAGGCAGGGAGUUCCAAAGUCUAGUCGCUGCCACACUAGAUGAUCAAGUUCUUGCAAAUGAGGGACAGGUAUUAUGCAGCGCCUGUAAUAGUGCCAGUUCCGCCAAUCGGCAUGGGGUAAGGCGAUCUCGUAGGGAUGAAAUAAUGAAAUACAAAUAAAUGCAGUGCAGUUCUGCAUCGUAUGUAUGUCUACUUGGAAGUGCUGCCAAGAUCUAGGAUUUCAUCCUUAGCCUAAUAAUAGAUCCCUGCCUAUUUAUGAACUAUGUGAGGCAGCACACAUCCAAUGCAUGAUUCCCUGUGUGAUCUCUUCACGUGAUCUCUUUGUUGAAUUAAACUCAAAGGGGGCACUUCUGAACAGGUAUGCAUAGCAUUGAAAUACACUAUCAGUUUUGCAGUUUGUAAAAAAAAAUGACAGUAUUUGAAGCUGGAGUGGCUUCAAUACUUUUUUACAAUUUAAUUUUUGUUACGUUUUGGGGUUUAUUUGAUUUUCCAGUUAGGUUUUGGGUUGAACAUGGCAGGAACCACAAGUAAAGGCUCUUGUUCCGGUCUGUCUUAAAGAAUGUGAUCAUGAAUGAUUUCCCUUACACGGGCUGCAUACACAACAUGUACAUGACUUCCCUCAAAGAAUCCUGAGAACUGUAGUUUGCGAAGGGUGCAGGUAAUUGUAGCUCUGUGAGGGUAAAAUAUGGUUGCCAGUAUUCCUCUGGGGGAAGCCAUGUGCUGUAAAUAUAUGGCGUGCAUGUGGCCAUGGUCCCAUUCUGCCCUAUUCAAAGCCAAAUGAAAAUGAAGGGGAAUUUUGACCAUGCUUCACAUACAAUUUCAUGUGAAACCAUUGUAAGGUAGUAGCGAAGUGCUGUACUGAGGAGACCCAGGUUCAAAUCUUCAUUCACUGGUCGAACAAUGGAUGGCCCUACUAUUAGGCAAAAUGAGGCAGCCACCACAGGUGGAUACUAUGGGGCAAAGAUAAGACAAAAGUUGUAUGAGCCAUGUGGUGCACGCUGUGUCUUUUAAGCUUGCCUGCUGCUCUUAGGUGCGAUGGAGGACUCUGCCUCUGGCCUCACCCACCAAAAGCACAUGGUCCCUGGAAUGUUGACUACUAGGAAAUGCAGCCAUUGGGCUUAGAUAUGCCCCACCCCCAAGUUUAUGGUGUGCUUUUCCCUGGUAUCAGUAGUGUACACAUUUUUAAUAACAACCAAGCAAAUGGACAAAUCACUGCUGAACUGCACCCACCAAUAUGUGGGCUGAGGUCUAGAUGAACAGAGGCUGUUUUAGGGUGGCGCAACUUCUGCAGUCACACUGGACGCUGCACUGCAGGGGGCACCAAAAGGAUGCUGUAGAAUGGAGUGUGAGAGGCAGGGGCUGCCAAAUUUUAGCGUCACAUAGGUGCUGAAUUUGAGCAUCUGCACAGCAAGGCACUGAAGACAGACCAAGAUAUUGCUACAUGCUACGACUUUCAGGCAUAGGGGUCAAAUGAAGCCUGGAUGGACAUGGAUAACAUCAAACAUGCCAAAUAUAGAAUUGACUUGAAGGGGAUUGUGGGGUAGAGACUGUACAAAUCCACCUUCUCAAACUGAAAAGACAAGUCCCCCCACAAAUAUCUGAUCCUAGGAAGAAAAGGUGUGUGUGUAUGAAGCAAGUAUAUUUCCAUUGGGUCUGCUAAUGAAAUCUUGUACACAGAGACACAAGCUCAACAUGUCCCCUCCCAAGUUCUGAAAAUGUUUUGUUAUACAAUGCUUUAGCUCUGUUGUGCACAAGUAAGUUAGUAGUACUUAGGAAUGUGGCCCCAGAAUCUAUGAAUAGAUUCUGGGGCAGGCAAGUGAGCUGAAGGAGGUGGAAAAGGGAAACCUAAGAAGCUAGUAACAGUAUAUUUUUAGUAAUGGAAUGCCAGAUUCUUGUUUGACACAAUAUCUACUUUUCUGCUUGUUUAAAAUAAUCUCUACCUGUUCCUUCAUUCUAUCAAUUCAUAUGUAAAGCAGAAUCACAAAGAAAGACAACCAUUUUUAUUAACAACAAUUUUGCCAGUAGCAGUAUUGAAUCAAGGUGGCAAAACUUUAUUUAAUGAGGUAGGUACAAACAGUAGACCUUCUAGUUGCCUUUGUCAUACCAGCAUUCUUUAGAAACAUUUCUAGAAUUAUUAUUAUUUUAAAAAAUCAAUGGCCAAGUUUCACCUAUUUCACAUUGUAGUAGAAUCUAGUGCAUUUCUAUUUUUUCCUCUAAGAUGCAACAUUUCUAAUUCCAAGCCAAUAAAAAAAGGGUGGGGGACCUGAGAAUUUGGAAGACUGGACAUUUCAUUCAGUACAUUUUACAGUAUAAAAAUCCACAAAAUGACCAGGUUGGAUCCAAACUUAAGUUCACCCAACUUAGGUCCCACUAAAAAGCAGUAAGACAAGUUUCAUUGGGUAGAUCCAAUGUCAGUCAUAUUCAGAACAGACCUACUAAAAUCAAUGGACUUAAACCAUUUGCCCAUUGAUUUCAAUGGUUCUACUCUGAGUAUACCUUAGCUGGAUAUCACCCAUUGAUUUCAAAGAGACCCAGGUUCAAACAAAUUGACCCAAGUUCAUACAACUUAAGUCUUGGGAUCCAACCCACUUCAACAAUCAUUCAUAAAGCUCCCUUCACCAACGGAUCUUAAGAGCAUUCAUAUAAAUAAGACAUGUCAUGUGUUUAAGGCACUUUUGAGGACUUCUAAACCCUGCUUUCAGGGUGUCAAAACUAUUUCUCCAAGAUCUUAGUCUUGUGAAUACUUCCACAUAAAAGUUUUAGUCAGUAGCACACAUUUACUGUUUGAGGAUCAAUGCCCUUGUUUUAAGAGUAGGAGUGCUACUCAGUUUAUGAAAACAUUUUAAAAAAUAUAAAUCCUGUUGUCCCUAAGUAAUUGUUAAGUUGAGUAACUGAAUAUAAAUCCUUUUACACUGCUUAAGAUAUAGGCAAUGCUGUUUUCCAGCAGAAAUCUGAAGCAUAAAUAUUUGGCAGAAAUGUGGUUUCAUAACACAGUGCAGAUUCCACAGAGUUCACAGAUGGUUCUAUGUAGUUUUUCCAGCAUCUUGUGACUAAGAUGAUGUCCACAUUUGUUUUUCAUCAUAACUCACAGUAAUAGUAAGUAAUAGUCUUUGAUAAUUCCUGAAAGGAAAAACAAACAAUGUAAAAAAAUAUAUUUUAAGUAUCAGCCUUUUUGAAAAUAUGGGGAAAUAUUUCCUACCAAGAAAAACGAUUAUGGAAUCAAUAAAAUAUGACCUGAAGAGUCUUCAAAGCAUCUUAAUUACCAGUAAGUCUGAUUACACUGUCAGACUCAGAUCAAUGUAUUGUACAUUUUUACCAUUCCAUGUAACUUAAGUAUUUCUUAUAAUACUAAUAGUGAUGCUAUUCUUAGAACAUCAGUAAGCCAACUCUUCCAUAUCUCAAAUCUUUCAGUGUGUGUAUCCAAUCCCAUUCAACCUGAUCACUUUCUUUUAGACUAGCGCUUAUCUAACAGUGAGAACUGUUCUUUGAUUAAAAAGCUACUAUUCUUAGAGGACUACUUUUCACAGAACUCAUUAGGUCAAUAGUUUCAGCUCAUUAGUAUAAGAAAAUCAAAUUAUAAGAUGAAAGUCAGUUUGUGUUCUGUAUUGUACUUGCGUAUUUAGAGUGGUACAGAUGUAAUUAACUCUGGUUGUAGAAGUGGGAAAGUAUGCAAUCACCCACUCCUUCCCUCUCUUCCUCUAUCUUGUGUGAAUUCCCUUAUACCCUGAUGUUCUGCAUUAGACCAUUGCCAAUGCUGACUAAAGCUGCUUCUGAUCUUCAUAAUGCAAUUCU